AUGCAAGUCGAGCGAUCGAGCCGGACCAGACACCCUUCGGGGUGGGCGGAUCGGUCACGGAGCGGCGGACUGGUGAGUAACGCGUAGCUAACCUGCCCUCUUGAUGGGGACAACCACUCGAAAGGGUGGCUAAUACCCAAUGUUGCUCGAGGUCGAUGGACCUUUAGCCAAAGGCGGUUCACGCCGUCGCAAGGGGAGGGAGCUGCGUCCUAUUAGCUUGUUGGUGGGGUAAUGGCCUACCAAGGCGAUGAUGGGUAGCUGGUCUGAGAGGAUGGCCAGCCACAUUGGGACUGAAAUACGGCCCAGACUCCUAUGGGAGGCAGCAGUGGGGAAUCUUUCGCAAUGGGCGAAAGCCUGACGGAGCGACACCGCGUGGGGGAUGAAGGUCUUCGGGUUGUAACCCCUUUUCUGAGGGAAGAAUAAAGGCGGGAGGAAAUGCCCACCCGAUGACGGUACCUCAGGAAUAAGCAUCGGCUAACUUCGUGCCAGCAGCCGCGGUAAU
rnacentral:rRNA from 1 species